GUGCUUGCUUCAACAGCACAUAUACUAAAACUGGAAUAAUUCAGAGAUUAGCAUGUCCCUUGCACAAAGAUGACAAGCAAAUUUGUGAAGCAUUCUAUAUUGAA
ensembl:snRNA U6 U6 spliceosomal RNA